UACGUAGGUCCCAAGCGUUGUCCGGAUUUAUUGGGCGUAAAGCGAGCGCAGGCGGUUGUAUAAGUCUGAAGUAAAAGGCAGUGGCUCAACCAUUGUGUGCUUUGGAAACUGUACAACUUGAGUGCAGAAGGGGAGAGUGGAAUUCCAUGUGUAGCGGUGAAAUGCGUAGAUAUUGAGAAGAACACCAGUAGCGAAGGCGGCUUUCUGGACUGUAACUGACACUGAGGCACGAAAGCGUGGGUAGCAAACAGG
rnacentral:rRNA from 1 species